rnacentral:rRNA from 1 species
GAGUUUGAUCGUGGCUCAGAUUGAACGCUGGCGGCAGGCCUAACACAUGCAAGUCGAGCGGUAGAGAGAAGCUUGCUUCUCUUGAGAGCGGCGGACGGGUGAGUAAUGCCUAGGAAUCUGCCUGGUAGUGGGGGAUAACGCUCGGAAACGGACGCUAAUACCGCAUACGUCCUACGGGAGAAAGCAGGGGACCUUCGGGCCUUGCGCUAUCAGAUGAGCCUAGGUCGGAUUAGCUAGUUGGUGAGGUAAUGGCUCACCAAGGCGACGAUCCGUAACUGGUCUGAGAGGAUGAUCAGUCACACUGGAACUGAGACACGGUCCAGACUCCUACGGGAGGCAGCAGUGGGGAAUAUUGGACAAUGGGCGAAAGCCUGAUCCAGCCAUGCCGCGUGUGUGAAGAAGGUCUUCGGAUUGUAAAGCACUUUAAGUUGGGAGAAGGGCAGUAAAUUAAUACUUUGCUGUUUUGACGUUACCGACAGAAUAAGCACCGGCUAACUCUGUGCCAGC